UUGCAUUGCUGCCCAGUCAUGUGCCCACCAUUCCCUUGCUCCAAAUAUUUUCCUUACCAACCAGCUAGCCUGCUUUGGUGAUUCCAUGGUAUCAACUGUUUUUCUCUUUAUAUAAUGACAGUGGAUCCAUUUAAUCUAGAGUAUAUAUUUCUUUUGCAUUAGAGCCUAUAGCAGCUUUGACAAGGCUGCUUUGUUCCACCUCUCAUAGCAGAGAGAAGCUUGCUGUGGAGACACACUCCAUAAUUAAAGUGACCAUUUUGUCAGGUACACCAAAUUCCAGCAACACUGCCCUCAGAAAACCCCAUUCAACAGAGUCAUAAGUCUUCCUAAUAUCCACUUUGAUUAUGCACCUUCUGGGAGUAAGCUCUUAUCAGUUCAUGAGCCAUAAUGAUAUUGUCUAGGAUGUUUCUCCCCUCUAUGAAAGCAGAUUCUGCAUGCCCCACGAGAUAAUCCACAACUAUUUUAAGUCUGUUUGUAAGGAUUUAUGCAAUAACUUUGUACAGCGUUGAGAAGCAAGCAAUGGGUCUAUAUUCCUUGACAUAGUUGGGAUUUUUCACUUUCGGAAUCAAUGUAACAGUUGUGCAGUUGAUCUCUUUCAAUAAUUUUACAGUUUGAAAGAACUUCUGCACUACCUCUAUAACCUCCUCACCCACAAUUGGCCAGAACUGUUUAAAGAAUUCUGUAGGGUAACCAUCUAUUCCAGGAGCCUUGUCAUUAGGAAGAUUAUGUACUAUCUGGCUGAUUUCUUCCCUUGUUACUGGAGCUAACAAUUGCUGAUGUUGGUGCAAUGAUAGACAUGGCCCAUGUCUAGCCACAUUGAUGUCUAUUCCAGGAUGCUGAUCUGCUGCUGUGCCGAGUAACUGUUGAAAGAAUUGAAUGAACUCAUGCUGGAUCUGGUGUGGAUAAGUAAUCCUCAUAUGGUUGUCAUUGAGAAUGCUUCUCACCAUGUUUCUUGCUUAUCUGUAUUUCAUAUAUGCGUGGAAGUACUUUGUAUUGCUAUCACCCAGCUGGAUCCAGUUUGCUCUUGACUGCUGUCUCAUUAUUUGUUCUUGAAUGACUUCCCACUUUUCAAUGUUCUCUAACAGUUUCUUUUCUUCUACAAUCACUGCUUCAUUGAAAUAAUCUUCAUUCAGUUUUCCUUGAAUUACCCUAAGGCCUUCUCUUAUUUGUUGCAGCUUCUUAUCAACAGAUGAAUGCUCCUGGUGAAUGGUUGUGGUCUCCUGCUCAAUUUUUCUCAGUUUGCUCCAAAUAGAAUACAUAGUGUAUCCUCUGAUUUGUUGUCUCCACACUCUUUGAACUGCUUCCUUGUAUUCUUUUUGUUGCGUAACUGUUAGUAGUAGCGUGUAUGGUCUAUUCACUUUAAUUUUAACUAUUUCAAUGUAUAUAAUAUAGGGGUGUGAUCGGAACAUCCAGGUAACAUGUAUACUACUUCCACUUCUGUGUAAGAAUUGAACCACAUAUCAUAACCAAAGGGCCAGUCUAUAUGGCUAUAGACUCUGGCUUCAACAUUUCUUUUGUUGCUCCUUGAGAAUUUUUUGCCUCUUUUGGUAAGCUGCCCCACUCCAAUGUCAUCAAUACAUCUCUGAAAUUCAGCUAUCUCUGAAGGAUGCACUGGCUGACCAUUUAUCCUAUCCUCAACCCCUAACAGACUGUUGAAAUUCUCCAUUAUAAGCCAAGGGACAGUAUGUUGGACAACUCUCAAAUCCCUCCAUAGUGGUGCUCUGUGUUGGGUAGUGUGUAGGUCAUAUACAAAGGUGAUGUAGCUAGUAAAGGUUGAGUUCUUAUCUUUCACCUGACAAUGGAUUAGUUGAUCAGUGCUUUCCAGUAGUACCACCUGAACAUUGACAUAUUUCCACAUUAUCCACAUCCUUCCAUUUGGAGCAUGUUCAUAGUUGUUCCUUAUUGUCCACUCACCUCCCAGCUUCUUAUGGAUUGCCAUUGAGUUUUGCUGCUUCACUCUAGUUUCUAGGCAAGAUAGCAUAUCAACUCUCUUAGUCCUCAGAAAUUUGACUAACUCUCUUUGUUUCUUCACUCUUGUUUCUAGACAAGCUAUCAUAUCAACUCUAUAAGUCCUCAGGAAUUUGACUAAUUCUCUUUGUUUGUAGGACUUGUUUAGUCCACUAAUGUUCCAGGAUACAAUAAUCAUGGGUGGAUGUAGUUCCACCUGGAUCUAAUAGACCUGGCUCUAGGCUGCAUUCUCCCUUCUGUUGGUUCCCAUCAUGAGGCUAUAAUAUAGUGAGUACUUCAAAUGUAUUUCUCCAAGCUACUUCAGCAUAGUUGGUCUCUUUGUUUUGGUUUCUAUCUUUAGGGCCUUGUACAAUUGCAAUCCGCUUGCCUUUGUUAUUCCUUUGGGCUUCUACUGCACAAAACUCUGUUGGUUUUUCAUUCUGCUGCCCAUCUAAUGUCUCCUUAGUUACAACUUUUGGUUGUCAUUGCACUCUGGUUAUCUUCUUCUUCCUCCUUCUCUGCCUCUGGACCCCUUCAGUCUGUUGUUCCUCCUUCUGACAAUCUCUAUUUUUGUGCCCAAACGAGUUACAUUCUAGACAGAAGGUUGGUUUCCAUUCGUACUCCACAUUUUGUAGACAGCCUUUUCCAUCUGGUAUCUCAAUAUAGACAUUCUCAGGCAGAGGUUGAGUGAUAUCAACUUCCACAAGAUCUCUCGCAUAAAAGAUUCUUUCACAUUCAGCAGUUAAUCUAUCGGUGCAUAAAGGCUUACCAAUUAAGUUUGCUAUUCUGCCUAAAUUCUCUUCAGCCCAGCGUUGGAUUCGUAGCCCAGGGAAACUGACCCAAAAAGGGACAAUUCUCAUCGACUAGUGCUGAAUCUGAAAAUUAGGAUCCCAUUCCUUCAGAAUCAUAGGCCUAGGGUUGAACGUAUAUGGUCCUUUUUGCAUGAUUAGGUUCUUAUCCUCCAUAGAUUCAAAUUUGAAGAUGAAGUACACAUCAUCAUGCAGGAACAUUGUAGGCGUUGUAAUCUCAUUCGAGACGCCAUAAGAAUACUUCAACAUUUCCUUAAAUGAUGGAUUACCUCCUAAGACAUAACCAAUUAAAGCAUACCUCCACUUCUGGUUCUGAAUCUCUAUCUCCUUAGGGUUCACUCCAUCCUUCAUCAUUGGAGGAUAGAACUUAAGCUGCAUGCCCUGAUUUUGAGUCCUGUUACCUUUGACUACCUCCGCCAUUGUUGGCUUCUGGGUUUCAUUUGAGUACGUGAGUUUCCUAGCCAUUGUCGUUCCACCUGCGACCUACUUCGCUGGCGGUGCCUGCAUGACUGUAGGAGCACUCCCCAUACCAGGAAACCAGUGUAGUAGGGGCAAUGGGGUUAGUUGUUGUGGUAUUUCGCUCUCCGGUGUUAUCACUCUCGUCAUAUUCACAGAGGGGAAGUAUUAGUAAGGUCGAUUGGAUAUGGCGGGGGGUGGCCCGCGGCAGGCGGCUUCUCGCUUGCCAGUCACCGGAGUUUCUCUCUCCUCUCUCUAAACAUCCUCCUCAUUCGGCUAAAAAGUUAGUAAGGUUACAAUAGCUUCAAACACGUGGCAAAACCCUUGUAUUAGCUACAG
rnacentral:lncRNA from 1 species